rnacentral:sRNA from 1 species
UGUCGCUGUAUGCGACCAUCCAAAUCCCCAGUAGUCUGAGAGGGGAGCCUUCGGGCGGCUACCAGCCAAUGCUUUAACGAUCUGAGAGAAGCGCCUUCGGGUGAUCGUAAUGUUCUCGUAGCCUGGAAGAGAACGCCUUACGUGGCGGUACAUC